rnacentral:rRNA from 1 species
AUGCCCACGUCCUCGCAUCCAUCGCCUGCCCUUCCCAAGGCAUGGAGGAUACGUGGCAGAGCGAGAGGGGGCGUGAGGAUAGGCAGGAUGACCAUUUUCCACCUCGUGAUCGUGGGGUGCAGCGCCAUGCAGGCUGUGACCCGAGUCCACUUAGUAAGCCCCUGCAUAUUCCUUCUUUUAAAAAAAGGGAGGCACGGACCGCCUCUUUACUAUCGACUGCGAGAUGACGCAAGCACGCUGAGGCCAUCCCACGCACGACCCCCACGUCACGCACUCGACGCGGAUUGUGGGGAAGCGCAACUGGCAAGAAGAUCAUGGAAGAUUAAGCCUCUACCACGCGUGCCCGCGCACUGCGUUGGGCCUGGCCCAACUACCCCUCGCGCGCACGUGUGGCCCAGGCCCGGGGCUCCCAUCGGUGUACAAAAGUACGGAAUCUUUUGUACCCCUUACUUGUGCACGAGCAAUUGUAGCCACGCCUAUGGCCGGGCCCGGUAG